CCUACGUGUGGCAGCAGUGGGGAAUAUUGGACAAUGGGGGGAACCCUGAUCCAGCGACGCCGCGUGAGUGAAGAAGUAUUUCGGUAUGUAAAGCUCUAUCAGCAGGGAAGAAAAUGACGGUACCUGACUAAGAAGCCCCGGCUAACUACGUGCCAGCAGCCGCGGUAAUACGUAGGGGGCAAGCGUUAUCCGGAUUUACUGGGUGUAAAGGGAGCGUAGGCGGCUGUGCAAGCAAGAUGUGAAAGCCCGGGGCUCAACCCCGGGACUGCAUUUGGAACUGUGUGGCUGGAGUGUCGGAGAGGCAGGCGGAAUUCCUAGUGUAGCGGUGAAAUGCGUAGAUAUUAGGAGGAACACCAGUGGCGAAGGCGGCCUGCUGGACGAUGACUGACGUUGAGGCUCGAAGGCGUGGGGAGCGAACAGGAUUAGAUACCCUAGUAGUC
rnacentral:rRNA from 1 species